AUUGAACGCUGGCGGCAGGCUUAACACAUGCAAGUCGAGCGGAGCGAGGGUGCUUGCACCUUAGCUUAGCGGCGGACGGGUGAGUAAUGCUUAGGAAUCUGCCUAUUAGUGGGGGACAACAUUCCGAAAGGAAUGCUAAUACCGCAUACGCCCUACGGGGGAAAGCAGGGGAUCUUCGGACCUUGCGCUAAUAGAUGAGCCUAAGUCGGAUUAGCUAGUUGGUGGGGUAAAGGCCUACCAAGGCGACGAUCUGUAGCGGGUCUGAGAGGAUGAUCGGCCACACUGGGACUGAGACACGGCCCAGACGCCUACGGGAGGCAGCAGUGGGGAAUAUUGGACAAUGGGCGGAAGCCUGCUCCAGCCAUGCCGCGUGUGUGAAGAAGGCCUUUUGGUUGUAAAGCACUUUAAGCGAGGAGGAGGCUACUUAGAUUAAUACUCUGGGAUAGUGGACGUUACUCGCAGAAUAAGCACCGGCUAACUCUGUGCCAGCCGCCGCAGUAA
rnacentral:rRNA from 1 species